UAGGGAAUAUUGGGCAAUGGUCGAGAGACUGACCCAGCCAUGCCGCGUGCAGGAUGAAGGCUUUCUGAGUCGUAAACUGCUUUUAUCAGGGAAGAAUAAGGCUCUUGCGAGGGCUGAUGACGGUACCUGAGGAAUAAGCACCGGCUAACUCCGUGCCAGCAGCCGCGGUAAUACGGAGGGUGCGAGCGUUGUCCGGAUUUAUUGGGUUUAAAGGGUGCGUAGGCGGUUUGAUAAGUCUGGGGUGAAAGCCCGUUGCUCAACAACGGAACUGCCCUGGAUACUGUCAGACUUGAGGACAGACGAGGUUGGCGGAAUAGAAGAUGUAGCGGUGAAAUGCAUAGAUAUCUUCUAGAACCCCGAUUGCGAAGGCAGCUGACUAGACUGUAUCUGACGCUGAGGCACGAAAGCGUGGGGAGCGAACAG
rnacentral:rRNA from 1 species